UACGUAUGGGGCGAGCGUUGUUCGGAAUUAUUGGGUGUAAAGGGCGUCUAGGCGGGAGAUUAAGUUAGAUGUGAAAGGCGUGGGCUUAACCCACGAAUUGCAUCUAAAACUGGUUUUCUUGAGUUCGGGAGAGGAGAGCGGAAUUCUUGGUGUAGCGGUGAAAUGCGUAGAUAUCAAGAAGAACACCAGUGGCGAAGGCGGCUCUCUGGCCUAGAACUGACGCUGAAGCGCGAAAGCGUGGGUAGCGAACGGGAUUAGAUACCCCGGUAGUCCCUGAGCGGG
rnacentral:rRNA from 1 species